CUCUCUCUCUCUCUCUCUCUCUCUCUAUCUCUCUCAUGUGUUCGAGCUAACCAGAAGCAAACGUUCAAACAUGGCCGCAAAGCUAAAUGUGCGAAUCACAGGUGAAUUAACACUUCUUUAAUUCCGAAUUCAAUUCCAUCUUCGAUUUUAUUUGAUUUCGUCUUCGAUUCCGUAUACGAAUUCAUCUUUAUGUAUUCAACUUCAUCUUCCAUUUUUUAUUUGAUUUCAUCUUCGAUUAUGUAUUUGUUUUCAUCUUUGGUUUCGCAUCUCCUUGCUUAUUUUUCUUUCAUUUGAUUUUUCACGUUGAAAAAAUGGUUGAGAUGAAGUGUGAGUUUUGUAUUGUGUUGGUUAUUGUUUUGAUUUUGCUUUUAUUGUGCUUCAUGGUAGAAUGCUUGUUUUGUGUUGGUUAUUGUUUUCAGACCACUAUAUCUAAGGGGAAAUCAGUUUCAG
rnacentral:lncRNA from 1 species